rnacentral:sRNA from 1 species
CGCCCGUCAAACCAUGGGAGCUGGUAAUGCCCGAAGUCGGUUUAUAAAGAAACUGCCUAAGGCAGGACUGGUGACAGGGGUUAAGUCGUAACAAGGUAUCCCUACGAGAACGUGGGGAUGGAUUACCUCCUUUCUACGGAGUACAAUAUACUAAUUAGAAAGUUAAUUAGUAUCUAACCUACUUAAAAAAUCAGACCUGUUAUUACAAUAUAUAUUUAUGUCAUGUGACUUUUUACAAGGUCGAAGUCUUAUAUCUAGUUUUGAGAGAAUAUCUCUCAUUUGUUCUUUGAAAACUGAAUAGUAAAUUUUUUGAUAUUUACAACGACAUCUAAAUAAAUUAAUUUGGUUAAUUUGUUUUGAUUCAUCGAGUAAUCAUUUAAAUAUGAUUCAUUGAAAUGUCUUAAAAUACACAUCUGUAACAAUCAAUAGGAAAAUACAAAUAUACUUUUAAAUAAGUAAGAGUUUGUGGUGGAUGCCUUGGGUCUGAAAGUCGAUGAAGGACGUGAUUACCUGCGAUAAGCCUCGUGGAGCUGGAAAUGCGCAUUGAAACGGGGAUUUCCGAAUGGGGAAACCUAGCUAGAGUAAUGUCUAGUUGCUUAUUUCUGAAUACAUAGGAAAUAAUGUGAGACACCAUGUGAACUGAAACAUCUUAGUAGCAUGAGGAAAAGAAAAUAAAUAAUGAUUUCUUUAGUAGCGGCGAGCGAAAGAGAAAGAGCCCAAACCACAUUUUGUGGGGUUGUAGGACAGUCUACAUAGAGUUACAAAAUUUAAUAAUAGCAGAAGCUUUUGGGAAGAAGCGGCAUAGAAGGUGAUACCCCUGUAUGCGAAAUUAUUAAAUCUCUUGACUGUAUCCUGAGUAGGGCGGGGCACGUGAAACCCUGUCUGAAUCUGCCGGGACCACCCGGUAAGGCUAAAUACUAAUCAGACACCGAUAGUGAACUA